UGAUGCUCUAAUGAGGAGAUUGGUACUCUAGGCCCGAGCGCUUUCUCUUCAGGGUUGUAAAUCUGUUGUGUGUCCCACAAAUUCCUGGUUUUCCACCAUGCAGGUCUGACUAGUGUUCACGAGUGAGCUGUGUUUCAUUUCCACAUCAGGUUAAAUGAGAGGCUGUGUGGCAGAGCAGAGGGACUGAGUUGGAGAGCGCUGACAGGCUCAUCAAUCUUUAUACAUCCAGAAUGGAAGCAGAUCGGCAGAGCAGAGCACCAGAGUCCUUCCCAUUCAGAAGUCCAUCGGCUACUAGGAGGGUGAGGAAUCCACAUAGCCUUCCUCUUGAAAUUCCCUCCCCUCGGUUUGAUGUAGAGCACGGCCAGAAACUGACUGGUGAGGAAGAGUGGAAUGGACCCAAAGGCUGUUGUUUCGGGAGUGAUUUAGACCAGCAAGAUGUUGGGAGCGUGCUAGACCAUGCCCACAAU
rnacentral:lncRNA from 1 species